CUAUGCGCCUUGCCAGCCCGCUCAGGUGUGCCAGCCGCCGCGGUAAUACGUAGGGUGCGAGCGUUAAUCGGAAUUACUGGGCGUAAAGCGUGCGCAGGCGGUUAUGUAAGACAGAUGUGAAAUCCCCGGGCUCAACCUGGGAACUGCAUUUGUGACUGCAUGGCUAGAGUACGGUAGAGGGGGAUGGAAUUCCGCGUGUAGCAGUGAAAUGCGUAGAUAUGCGGAGGAACACCGAUGGCGAAGGCAAUCCCCUGGACCUGUACUGACGCUCAUGCACGAAAGCGUGGGGAGCAAACAGG
rnacentral:rRNA from 1 species